rnacentral:rRNA from 1 species
CAGUCGCCGCGGGAAUACGUAGGUGGCAAGCGUUGUCCGGAAUUAUUGGGCGUAAAGGGCUCGCAGGCGGUUCCUUAAGUCUGAUGUGAAAGCCCCCGGCUCAACCGGGGAGGGUCAUUGGAAACUGGGAAACUUGAGUGCAGAAGAGGAGAGUGGAAUUCCACGUGUAGCGGUAAAAUGCGUAGAUCUCGAGAGGAACACCAAUGGCGAAGGCAGCUUCUUGGUCCAUUCCUGACGUUCAUACACGAAAGCGUGGGGAGCAAACAGGAUUAGAUACCCCAGUAGUCCCUGUCUCUUAUAU